rnacentral:rRNA from 1 species
UACGUAGGGAGCAAGCGUUGUCCGGAAUCAUUGGGCGUAAAGCGCGCGUAGGUGGCCACAUAAGUCCGUUGUGAAAGUCAAAGGCUCAACCUUUGAAAGCCGAUGGAUACUGUGUGGCUAGAGUACGGAAGAGGCGAGUGGAAUUCCUGGUGUAGCGGUGAAAUGCGCAGAUAUCAGGAGGAACACCAAUGGCGAAGGCAGCUCGCUGGGACGUGACUGACGCUGAGACGCGAAAGCGUGGGGAGCAAACAGG